AGAGUUUGAUCCUGGCUCAGGACGAACGCUGGCGGUGUGCUUAACACAUGCAAGUCGAACGGUAAGGCCCUUUCGGGGGUACACGAGUGGCGAACGGGUGAGUAACACGUGAGUAACCUGCCCUCAUCUCUGGGAUAACAGUCGGAAACGGUUGCUAAUACUGGAUAUGAGCUUGCAAGGCAUCUUGUGGGUUGGAAAGAUAUUUUUUGGUUGGGGAUGGACUCGCGGCCUAUCAGCUUGUUGGUGAGGUAGUGGCUCACCAAGGCUUCGACGGGUAGCCGGCCUGAGAGGGCGACCGGCCACAUUGGGACUGAGAUACGGCCCAAACUCCUACGGGAGGCAGCAGUGGGGAAUAUUGCACAAUGGACGGAAGUCUGAUGCAGCAACGCCGCGUGCGGGAUGACGGCCUUCGGGUUGUAAACCGCUUUCAAUUGUGACGAAGCUUUUUUGUGACGGUAGCAGUAGAAGAAGCACCGGCUAACUACGUGCCAGCAGCCGCGGUGAUACGUAGGGUGCGAGCGUUGUCCGGAUUUAUUGGGCGUAAAGAGCUUGUAGGCGGUUUGUCGCGUCGGGAGUGAAAACUUGGGGCUUAACCCUGAGCUUGCUUUCGAUACGGGCUGACUUGAGGGAGGUAGGGGAGAAUGGAAUUCCUGGUGGAGCGGUGGAAUGCGCAGAUAUCAGGAGGAACACCGGUGGCGAAGGCGGUUCUCUGGACCUUUCCUGACGCUGAGAAGCGAAAGCGUGGGGAGCGAACAGGCUUAGAUACCCUGGUAGUCCACGCCGUAAACGGUGGGUACUAGGUGUGGGGGACAUUCCACGUUCUCCGUGCCGUAGCUAACGCAUUAAGUACCCCGCCUGGGGAGUACGGCCGCAAGGCUAAAACUCAAAGGAAUUGACGGGGCCCCGCACAAGCGGCGGAGCAUGCGGAUUAAUUCGAUGCAACGCGAAGAACCUUACCAAGGCUUGACAUGGGCCGGCUGCUCCUGGAGACGGGGGCUCCCCAUUUUUUGGGGCUGGUUCACAGGUGGUGCAUGGUUGUCGUCAGCUCGUGUCGUGAGAUGUUGGGUUAAGUCCCGCAACGAGCGCAACCC
rnacentral:rRNA from 1 species